GACGAACGCUGGCGGCGUGCUUAACACAUGCAAGUCGAACGGUGAAGCGCCUUCCUUUUUGGUGGGUGUGGAUGAGUGGCGAACGGGUGAGUAACACGUGAGUAACCUGCCCCCUUCUUCUGGAUAACCGCAUGAAAGUGUGGCUAAUACGGGAUAUUCUGGGUCUGUCGCAUGAUGGGUCUGGGAAAGAUAUUGUUUCGGUGGGGGAUGGGCUCGCGGCCUAUCAGCUUGUUGGUGGGGUGAUGGCCUACCAAGGCGGUGACGGGUAGCCGGCCUGAGAGGGUGGACGGUCACACUGGGACUGAGACACGGCCCAGACUCCUACGGGAGGCAGCAGUGGGGAAUAUUGCACAAUGGGCGCAAGCCUGAUGCAGCGACGCCGCGUGAGGAAUGGAGGCCUUCGGGUUGUGAACCUCUUUCGCCAGUGAAGCAGGCCUGCCUCGUUUGUGGGUGGGUUGACGGUAGCUGGAUAAGAAGCGCCGGCUAACUACGUG
rnacentral:rRNA from 1 species